GGUGAGUAUGGAGAUGGUGAAGAAGAGCUGUCCUCGGAAGGCGGGGAAUAUGGCAACAAUGGUAAUAGCGAGAAGAACAAUCCAAAGAAAGGACUGGGAGAUGGUGCGACCGGGGCAGAACAAAAUGGAGAAGACGAAGACAAUGAAGAUGGAGAUGGUGAAGACCCUGAGGAUGAGGAUGAGGACGAGGACGAGGAUGAUGAUGACGAUGACGAUGGAGAGGAUGAGGAUGAAGAGGAUGUUGAAGAAGAAGAAAAUGAAGAUGAGGAAGAAGAAGAUGAAGAUGAGGAAGCCCUGCAGCCACCCAAGAAAAGGAAGAAGUAAAUUGUUAGGAAAUAAG
rnacentral:lncRNA from 1 species